GAGAGAGUGGCGUGUAGAGAGAGAGGGAGAAGAAGAAAGAAAGAAAGAAGAAGAAGGUGAAGAGGAACCCAUCUUAGAGCUUGAACAAGGGUGUGAAGUUUGGGUGUUGAUCUUAUUGUGUUCUUGAUUUUACAAUCAAGAGAGGUAGCAAAUAGGAUUUCUUUAUGGCACGCGUGGUGACGUGAGGAGUUCUUUCAUCAUGGGGUGUAUGGCGUG